UACGUAGGGUGGGAGAGUUGUCCGGAAUUACUGGGCGUAAAGAGCUCGUAGGUGGUUUGUCGCGUAGUUCGUGAAAACUCACAGCUUAACUGUGGGCGUGCGGGCGAUACGGGCAGACUGGAGUACUGAAGGGGAGACUGGAAUUCCUGGUGUAGCGGUGGACUGCGCAGAUAUCAGGAGGAACACCGGUGGCGAAGGCGGGUCUCUGGGCAGUAACUGACGCUGAGGAGCGAAAGCGUGGGGAGCGAACAGG
rnacentral:rRNA from 1 species